GAUGAACGCUAGCGGCAGGCUUAAUACAUGCAAGUCGAGGGACAGCACAGGUAGCAAUACUGGGUGGUAACCGGCAAACGGGUGCGGAACACGUACACAACCUUCCUUUAAGUGGGGGAUAGCCCAGAGAAAUUUGGAUUAAUACCCCGUAAUAUAGUUGAAUGGAAUACUUUGAUUAUUAUAGCUACGGCGCUUAAUGAUGGGUGUGCGGCUGAUUAGAUAGUUGGCGGAGUAACGGCCCACCAAGUCUACGAUCAGUAGCGGAUGUGAGAGCAUGAUCAGCCAAACGGGCACUGAGACACGGGCCCGACUCCUACGGGAGGCAGCAGUAAGGAAUAUUGGUCAAUGGACGCAAGUCUGAACCAGCCAUGCCGCGUGAAGGAUUAAGGUCCUCUGGAUUGUAAACUUCUUUUAUUUGGGACGAAAAAGGGCCUUUCUAGGUCAACUGACGGUACCAGAUGAAUAAGCACCGGCUAACUCCGUGCCAGCCGCCGCAGUAACAC
rnacentral:rRNA from 1 species